rnacentral:tmRNA from 1 species
UUGCUUGAGAUUUUGGUGCAAAAUCCUUAUCUUGGGCGUGCCGGGCAACCGGCUAUGUCGGUAGAUGGUCAGGUGGAAUAGGCACUUCGGACCCGGGGGGCAGUACCCCGGCGCCUCCACCAUCAGCGGCGCGCAUGUGGUCGAUAUGUGCGAUGUUGUUGAUGGGGGCGAAACAGGAUCGACGAGUGCAAUAAAGGCCCGACUGCCGAUCGGAUUGAGUCACCGCAACGGCUCAUUCACACAAGUGCCAACGAUAACGAGGCGCUCGCUCUUGCUGCGUAACUGACGGCCUAACGGUCUGAAGUUACAAAGCUAAAGCGCGGUCGGACCCCACCGGGCAACAGAAGGGGAUUCCAGCGGUUCGGGGAGCACCGGGCAACAGAAGCUCCCCACU